rnacentral:rRNA from 1 species
AGAAUCAACGCUGGCGGCGUGCCUAACACAUGCAAGUCGCACGAGAAAGGGGAGCAAUCCCUGAGUACAGUGGCGCACGGGUGAGUAACACGUGAAUAAUCUACCUCCGAGUGGGGAAUAACUGAGAGAAAUCUUAGCUAAUACCGCAUAAUACCCACGGGUCAAAGCAGUAAUGCGCUUGGAGAGGAGUUCGCGGCAGAUUAGUUAGUUGGCGGGGUAAUGGCCCACCAAGACGAUGAUCUGUAUCCGGCCUGAGAGGGCGCACGGACACACUGGAACUGAAACACGGUCCAGACUCCUACGGGAGGCAGCAGUGGGGAAUUUUGCGCAAUGGGGGAAACCCUGACGCAGCAACGCCGCGUGGAGGAUGAAGCCCCUUGGGGUGUAAACUCCUUUCGAUCGGGAAGAUAAUGACGGUACCGAUAUAAGAAGCCCCGGCUAACUUCGUGCCAGCAGCCGC